AAGUAUCCAAUUAAAUGCAAAAAAAGUAGGGGCUUAAUUACUUUUUUGAAAAAGUUUCAGGGCCUUUUUUAUGCAUUUUGAAAGUUCAAGUACCAAUUGAGUGCAAAAAAAAAAAGUAGGGGCUUAAUUGCUUUUUUUUUUUUUUUAAGUUUGAGGGUUUUUUUGAUGGAUUGUGAAAGUUGAAGUACUCAAGUGAGUGAAAAGAAAGGGGGCUUAAUUGCUUUUUUUUUUUAAAUUAAAGAUCUUUUACACCCUUAAACCUUUGGGUAAUUAUAUGAUUAUUUAUGGGUAAGAUCCGGUAUAGUAGUUUACUUUUUUAACUUUAGUGUUUCACUUUUUUUUUAUAUAUUUUUCGUAAAAAUUAUUUUUAUUAUACCCUAUAAACACUUGUCAUCAACCCACUCUUGCUUAUGGAAAUUAAAAAUUUUA
rnacentral:lncRNA from 1 species